GACGAACGCUGGCGGCGUGCUUAACACAUGCAAGUCGAACGGAAAGGCCCUGCUUUUGUGGGGUGCUCGAGUGGCGAACGGGUGAGUAACACGUGAGUAACCUGCCCUUGACUUUGGGAUAACUUCAGGAAACUGGGGCUAAUACCGGAUAGGAGCUCCUGCUGCAUGGUGGGGGUUGGAAAGUUUCGGCGGUUGGGGAUGGACUCGCGGCUUAUCAGCUUGUUGGUGGGGUAGUGGCUUACCAAGGCUUUGACGGGUAGCCGGCCUGGGAGGGUGACCGGCCACCUUGGGCCUGCGAUACGGCCCAGAAUGCUACGGGACGCAGCAGUGGGGAGUAUUGCACAAUGGGCGGGAGCGUGAUGCAGCAACGCCGCGAUCGUGAUGCCGUCCUUCGGGUUGUAAACCACUUUCGAAUGUGACGAAGAGGGAGUGACGGUAAUGGGUAAAGAAGCACCGGCUAACUACGUG
rnacentral:rRNA from 1 species